UCAAGGAAGCGUGACUCAGCUCCUCUGAGUGAGUGUGGGGAGAUGGGUGGGACCCAAAGCUAGGGACAGGCAGAGACUUUUUCAGGCUGCCCCAGGCCUCCUAGAGUGGAUUGCUGGUCUCCUGUUGUGCCAUGCCCCAUGCCCUCUCUGAUGUUUUGUUUGGAGGCCCUGUCUUUUAACCCCAGCUUCUGCAUCUCUUUGGUGCUGUGACUGUGGUUUCUAAUAAGGCAGCACAGUGCAUCUCAGAAGCAAGUCUCACCCAGACAGGGAUUUUCUAGUCACAUCAACCAGUUGGUUCAUGAGACCUAAGGGAAAGUUGCUAACCGUUUCUAGACAGGAGCAGAUUUUCAUCGUCCUUAAAGAAACUGCACUACAAGAAUUUCUUGUUUAUAUGGGUUUCUUUUAAGACCCCAUCUUUGUAAUUACCCUACCGUUUCUUACAGAGAGGCCCUCCCCACAUGCAUUCCAUAGUUUCAGGGUCCCACAUUACUUGUUUCAACCAAAUUAUCUCAAAUAACCCCAUAGUCUGUCAGUCUCCCCUCAUUCCAUUCUGUAACCUCAGCACUUGAACUAAACAUAAGAAAGCAAAUGACAGAUACACAUGGUAAUGCUAACACACUAGUGGUGACCUGCUAUGGAUUAAUCACCACAAUUGAUUGACCUCCAGGACUUCAGAACAACUUUAGGAGAAUUUUAUAAAAUGAAAGAUGCUUCAAAACAAAACAAGUAGGUUCUUUGCUAUGUGACUCUGGAGGUUUUUCUUGAUGGAUUGAUGUCAGUGGGCCUCUAACCAAGUUGCCUGUGGGCUCCACAAAGGGCUGAGAAACAUUGUUUUUGUAUAUUACAGACCCCAUACAUGGCAUGGAUAAACCUGAUUGUGUUCUUCUUAUUAUUUUGUAUUGCUUUUUGUAUGAUGAAGGGAUUUGGGGUGGGAAUGAUGAUACAUGGCAAGGACAUAGUUUAAAAUAUUCUCUCUCAGUCCAUGUGAACUUCAAACAGGAUGAUAAACUCAAGAGUCACAUUUUAGUUUCUGGAAGUGGUGGUGUUGGAAGGAUUCUCUGGAAACCCUUUAUGUCUCUAGAUAUUUUUAUAAAGGUUUCCUAUGGAGACCAGGUUGGCCUAGAACUUGCCAUCCUCUCUGUGAUUCCAUCUUAAGAGACCCUGUAAACAGCGUGACAUAGGUAGGUGGAUUCAGUCUAAGUAGAGCCUGGCUGGCCUCUGCCUUCUGAUGAUGCCAGUGGUUUCACCAGAUCUGCCUUGCUUUCAGUUCAUGGUGACUAAACAUUUCUCCCUGUGAACACACAGGAAUGACUCAGUCUUGCUCAAUAACUGAAGCACAUGUCACAGAGUCCUGUGAUUUCAUGCCCUACUGAUUCACCAUCCACUCACUUGCCCAAAUGCCCGUUUCCACCCAUGAGGAGCCCGUUGCCUCUAGUUAUCUGUUGGUCUUGAGUCCUACACAUCACUGGCUUCAGCCACUUACUACUCCUUUCACCCUGUAGUCUGAUGCGAGCACAGCCCACCUUCAAACUCAUGUCGGAAGGAAUGCUCUCAUCCGGAAUGGACCAUAUCCCCAGUGUGAUCAUAGAUUCAUCUGGAAGAGAGUUGCUGGGACACUGUGUAAACUUCAUUUCCUGGCUACAGAGCUCAAGAAAACAAAAAAGGGGCAUUCCCUGGUGAAUGUGGAAAGGCUAAGAGCAGUGGUGUUGUUGACAAGAGACCUCAAAUGAGGCUGUGUGUCUCCAGGCCCCGGAGAAAAGGAAUCGGAUGCAGAUCAGAGCUGCAGCUUCAUUCUCAAGAGUCUGACUCUGGCAGCCCCCUCAGUCGCUUGUCCACUGAUAAAAUAGCCCUGAUAAGGGCGUGUUGACACGUGCCAGGUGUUUGCAAAGUAUGGAGCAUCCUUUGUCUCAUUUAACUUUUAUUAAAUUCAGCGGAGGUGGACACCAUUACAGAGUAAAGCACACACCCAAAAUGAAUGACCUUCAUAAAGGUCACUUGGUAAAUGAAUGGCAAACUCAGUCACCUGAUCUCCAAAGUCUGUGCACCUCACCCCGUUACACCGUUUAUUAAGAAAACUCUAGGAAGAAGAUAAAGCUCAAACCGGGGGCCAGUGGGCACCUGUCACCUCCCCUCCAUCAUGGCGGGUCUUACCUCAGAGUGUUUUCCAGGGGCCGGCCACAGGCUCACGACGGGCCCUCGGUCCUUCACCUGCUGCAGGUCAUCCAGGCUGACGUACUUGCCCAACUCAAUCACUUUAUCCAUCCAGAAGAUGUCCGUCAUCCCAUGGUCUGAGAAAAUGAUGACAUUCAGGUCAUCCUGCAGGCCUCGUUCCUGCGGGGUAGACACAAGACGUCACCACAUUGACUGGGCAAAUGUCCUUUCACACACACAUCCUUGCAAAGAGGUGCUUUUAAGCUUUUGGUUAGAGGGGAAAGGAGACUGCUAAAGUUGAAACCCACGAUUAACCCCCACGUCCAGGAUAAACCGGCCAAUAGACUUACUAAUAGUGCUAAGAAGCAGCCCAGCUCUCCAGUCAAGCCAGGCAAUAAUCUGUAUUAGAUGAGCUUAAUCCCACUGGCCACCCAUGGAAUAAGAAGUUUCUUGGCACCCUAAAAAGUACAGUGUGAAGAAAACAGGGCCUCACACUGGCCUAGUAAACAGAUUGUUGGAGGAAGUAUGAAGGAGUGGCCGUCAUGGAGAUGACAAGAAAUGACAGGAGGAAAUGCCGGGUCAGCUGCCCUUGCUUUGGGUCACCUGGAUCCACUGGAUCAUGUACUUCAGUACGGUGUCCACAGCUUUGAGGGCGUCUUUCCGCUGAGGUGAUGAGGGGCCGAAGUGGUGACCUUCCACAUCAAUGCGUUCAUGGUAUAUGGCUGCUAGGUCAGCUCGGCCGCUCCUGGAGGGAACACAGUGAGACAGAGACCCACAGUUGAAGGAGACCUCUGGCAGCUUGCUCCCGAAUGACCCACUGACCCUCUGCGAAGGUGUGAGAACCCCCAAGCAGACCUCCCAGUAGAUCAGUCAAAGCCCACGUGUCCACGUAAACAAGGCAAUACUAGGAGGAGACACCGUUAUCUAGGUGCUCUGUGUCUACGGGUUAACUUUGUUUCCAGGCCUGGAGGUACAGGUACAAGUGUUCUCACAAAAUAGCAUUGCACACGAAGAAGCAGACUUCAGAGGGUUCUAGAAGUUUCCCACUCCCUGGCAGAUUUCUGAGACACAGCUGGGACUUGGAAAUGUACACUGGGCCUUUGAAAGCCCACCCACAUCUACUCCAUCUUGAAAACUAGGGAAGAGAUUCGGAACAUUCUCUGCCUGGCAUCCCUUCUUUCUGGUCCCACACAUCCUUUAGUGAUGCCGAUAUUUUCUUCUGAGCUCUCUGGGGGUGCACAUCAUUAACAGCUCGGAGGGAACGCUGGUUUCAAGAGAAGUGAAAUCAUUCAUCAGAUGUUCUUUUCUCUUUUUAGGACAAAACAAAUUGACCCUUUGUUAGUAAGGCCCAUCACUAGCCUCCUCCACAGUGUGGAUUGGGUUAUGUUAGUAUUUAGAUUUUUCUCACAAGUGCUAUGCUCAUUAUUCAGACUCCCUGGUGUGAGAAUGACUCAUUCAAACCUCCUGAGCAUCUAUACAUGGUCAGACACAAAAGGUCCCUCUUGGGCCCCGUGAGUGUGUAGGCGGUGGGGGGGGGAGAAGUCAGUAUUGGGCAGUAUGACUGCCGUCCAUAUGCGGAAACUCGCUGACAGUCUGUGACUGGGAGGGCUCACUGCAUCUGAACACAAUGGCAGCUUCCAUAAAACCUGUCCUGGAGAUAAGCCUCCACAUUUAUCCACUUUACAUACUGGCCUCUUAGGCAUUCCAGAUGUGCUGGUUUGGGCACUGCGUCGUCUGUUUAGGUGUCCACACUUCCAGCACGGGUCCUGGAUAGGGCGGAAAAUCCCACUUAACACACUGGCGACUUAAUCAGAUGUGAGGUUGACCGUGGCAUUGGAGUUUAACGAAAUACACCCAGCUCUCUUCAUUUUAAUACCCACUGUAUGGCAGCGUCGUAGCGCACUGUUGUGUAGGCUGGCUUCUCCGAGGCUGUUUAUCACAUCUGAAAAUCUCCAUGUGGUCAGAAAGCUGGAGAGUGUCACAAUUUACCUGAUGGCAUUGUUUCAGGAAGCUGUCAAGCUCAGAUGCCUGGAACACUUGAUUUGGGAUGCUUGUGUUACAGGGAGUACACACAAGAGAGGUUUCUGCGUUAAGGUUUCAUUGAUUCAUUAGGGACUGAAGUCCCUCAGGGCUGACAGCUCUUGCCUGUUUGGAGUUUAGCAGAUAAAUUCUUGGUAGCCAGCUGUUUCCGAUGUGGGUCUGGUCUCUAUCACAGGUCAGCUCGUUUGUUAUGGGUUUGGGUGAGGCAAGCUGGAUAGAAGUGCCUGCACGUCUGUUAUUGGCCAUUUAUUGCUUUGAGGUUCAGGAACCUUGCCAGAAGGACAUGUGGUCAUCAAACCCAGUUCCCAGAAAGCUGCAGGGGGCCUCCAGCUCUAGGGUUUCAGGGACACCCAAGUCUCCUAUCACCUUAUAAUUCUGUCUAGAUUGCUUUGCAAUAUAAAAGGUUCAUAAUGUCAUAUGCACUUUUCUUGCUGAAGUAGGUUGGGAAGAGAGGAGAAUUGGGCAGGGGGAAAUGGAAGCAAUUUAAAGGUAUGGUUAGUUAUUGACUCUGAAGAAGGAUGAUUUACUAUUUAGAAAGAAGGACCCUGAAAUGACUGUGCAUGCCUUCAGUGUCAUCUUGGAGCACUGUCCGAUACACUCGCUUAAAAGUCACCAGACUUCAUUCAUGACUAUCUUUCAGAGCCUGUAAUGGUAGCUACUAGCUAGCAGAAAACUGAUCAAAUAAAAUUUGAAUUUUCUGAAA